GAUGAACGCUGGCGGCGUGCCUAAUACAUGCAAGUCGAGCGAACGGACGAGAAGCUUGCUUUUCUGAUGUUAGCGGCGGACGGGUGAGUAACACGUGUAUAACCUACCUAUAAGACUGGUUUAAUUUCGGAAACCGGAGCCAAAACCGGAAGAAACUUUUAACCCCAUGGGUGAAAAGUUAAAGUACGGCCUUUCUGUAUGUAAUGGCGGAUUCUCGCCUCAUUAGUUAGUUGGUUAGUUAACGGCUUAUCAAGGCAACGAUGGCUAGCCCAACUGAGAGGGUGAUAGGCCACCCGGGAAGUGGGACACGGUCCAGACUACUGCGGGAGGCAGCAGUAGGGAAUCUUACGCAAUGGGCGAAAGCCUGACGGAGCAACGCCACGUGAGUGAUGAAGGUCUUCGGAUCGUAAAACUGUGUUAUUAGGGAAGAACAUAUGUGUAAGUAACUGUGCACAUCUUGACGGUACCGAAUCAGAAAGCCACGGCUAACUACGUG
rnacentral:rRNA from 1 species